GAAGCGGCAACAGCUCAAAUUUGAAAUCUGGCGCAAGCCCGAGUUGUAAUUUGUAGAGGAUGCUUCAGGGCAGCGGCCGGUCUAAGUUCCUUGGAACAGGACGUCAUAGAGGGUGAGAAUCCCGUAUGCGACCGGUUGGCACCCGUCACGUAGCUCCUUCGACGAGUCGAGUUGUUUGGGAAUGCAGCUCUAAAUGGGAGGUAAAUUUCUUCUAAAGCUAAAUACCGGCCAGAGACCGAUAGCGCACAAGUAGAGUGAUCGAAAGAUGAAAAGCACUUUGGAAAGAGAGUUAAAAAGCACGUGAAAUUGUUGAAAGGGAAGCGCAUGCAACCAGACUCGUCGGCGGUGUUCCGCCGGUCUUCUGACCGGUCCAUUCGCCGCCGGCGGGCCAGCAUCACUUGGGGGCGCCGGAUAAAGGCGCGGGGAAUGUGGCCCCUCGGGGUGUUAUAGCCCCGCGCACAAUACGGCGACCCGCGAGUGAGGUCCGCGCUUCGGCUAGGAUGCUGGCGUAAUGGUUGUCUGCGGCCCGUCUUGAAACACGGACCAAGGAGUCUAACAUCUAUGCGAGUGUUCGGGUGUCAAACCCCUGCGCGUAAUGAAAGUGAACGGAGGUGGGAGCUUAGGCGCACCAUCGACCGAUCCUGAUGUCUUCGGAUGGAUUUGAGUAAGAGCAUAGCUGUUGGGACCCGAAAGAUGGUGAACUAUGCCUGAAUAGGGUGAAGCCAGAGGAAACUCUGGUGGA
rnacentral:rRNA from 2 species